rnacentral:lncRNA from 1 species
UCUUGCAGGAGUUACUACAGAUGUACUCAUAGUAAUUGUCGGGUCAAGAAAAGGGUUGAAAGGUUGUCAGAGGAUCGUCGGAUGGUAAUAACAACCUAUGAAGGUAGACAUAACCAUUCUCCUUGCGAUGAUUCAAAUUCCUCCGAUCACGAGUGUUUCACCUCAUUCUAGAGCAUAGAUGUUAAAAGUAUUUAUACCAUGUUCUGUUAAAUUAUAUAUGGGUGAGUUUGCUUGAAUUAUUAUGUAUUUAGUGUUUAUUCAUUUUCUUGAUAUCAUUGCAUGCGUAAAUUAAAACAAAAUAUGUUGGAUUUGUAGUUUUAUCUACUGAAUCUCCUUGUGUGCUUUACAUUAGUUCGUUUAUGG